ACGGAAGGCAGCAGUGGGGAAUAUUGGUCAAUGGGGGCAACCCUGAACCAGCGACGCCGCGUGAGUGAAGAAGUAUUUCGGUAUGUAAAGCUCUAUCAGCAGGGAAGAUAAUGACAGUACCUGACUAAGAAGCACCGGCUAAAUACGUGCCAGCAGCCGCGGUAGUACGUAUGGUGCAAGCGUUAUCCGGAUUUACUGGGUGUAAAGGGAGCGUAGGCGGUCUGGCAAGUCUGAUGUGAAAACCCGGGGCUUAACCUCGGGAUUGCAUUGGAAACUGUCGGACUUGAGUGUCGGAGAGGAAAGCGGAAUUCCUAGUGUAGCGGUGAAAUGCGUAGAUAUUAGGAGGAACACCAGUGGCGAAGGCGGCUUGCUGGACGACAACUGACGCUGAGGCGCGAAAGCGUGGGGAGCAAACAGGAUUAGAUGCCCUGGUA
rnacentral:rRNA from 1 species